ACACACACACACACGGACGACUGCUGAAUGGAUUCCGUCUCUGUUUCCAUCAUUUGUGUGGGCAAAUGACAAAAGCUCUUUGAACGGAACUCUGAUUUGUCUAUUUGAAUAUUGCUGUAUUUACUCAGCUGUCGUCGGGUGAAAUACAGUCCAUCUCCGCCACAUUAUCGGCCGCCUCCAUCCCCAGUGUGACUGAUAAUAACUCUGCACGCAGUAUUUUCAAUCCUCUCCCAAAUAAUGGCCGUCGCGGGCACCUGUGUUCCUCCUAUUUGAGAAAGUGCUUCUUAUUAUUGAGAUUUAUGAGGCCUCCACCCCGGCGCUCUUGCGGUGGUCCAGUCGCCUCAGAAUUAGUCAUUGGCGUCCCAAGGUUAAUUAGGUUGAUCAUGUCUUUAAAUAGCAGGAUCAUCAUUGCCCCCCCCCACCCCCGGCUGGGCUCCCAUUCAGGAGAUGUCAGGCUUUUCUCUUCCUCUCCUUCCUUUUUUACCAGAUCCUGGCUCCUAAUGUGGGGCAGGCGGGCUAAGUUAGCGCGAAAGUGAAGUUGUCACUCAGAGACAGAGGAGGUGCUGUGCAGUGUGGGCCGGAGGAGCGAGCGCUUUGCCUGCGCCUCGCCUCCAAUCCAGACCAUCUGUGGCCCCAGCUGGAGUGCCAGCGAUGGUCUGGCACUUGUACCGUGCCAUAUUUACAGAUCUAAACACAAAUGGCUACUGCCUGAUUGUUUCACGAUUCAUUAGUCAGACAAGCUCGGCUCUCGCGCCAGCCCAGCUGUUACAGAGUAAACCUUUGUCACUUAAUAGGGCUGCUUAUUGCAUCCCCAUCAAACGUAUUGAUCUGUGGCCUCCUCUUUAAGGUGAGGUGACUGGGAGCACUGGGAUGGACAGGGGGAGGAGACGGGGACACGUUGGGGUCAAAAGGACGUGCAGAGGGUUUAUUGAAAUGUGAUCUGCUGGAUCUAGUCAUGCUGUAGCAGGCACAGAGGAUCCUAACGCCACGGGAGCCUGUCUCUGAACAGCCUUUGUUCUCCACGUACAAGAUUUCACUUUCUGUAGCCUCUCGGAGCAGAGAACAGGUUCCUGGAAAUAUUCAGAUAAAGCCACAGAAGGUCCACGAGUUUGUCCGUGCCCACAGCGCUGACAUUUGCGUGGCGCGUUUCGUGUGGGCAGAAAGUGGAAUUUUACCACUGCCAAAGAGGAGGAAAGAAGAAAGGAGAUGUUUGUGUGGUCACUAAGUAAAUGCAGGACCUUAACUCAGCCCAUUUUAUGUAGUUUUGUUUAUGGUGAGGUCCACUCCAACAGCUGUUAAAAGGACUCUAGUGUCUGAUGUUAGAGGAACAGCAGCCUCAGCAACAGCUGUCCUCAAACCCACGGAGUCGUUCCUUACAAGACAGAGUGAGAGGGAAAAACAAAGUCAAUCCUUGGGUCAAGCGUUUUAGUCCGGCUGGUGAGGAGGGCAUAUUGAUUUUACAUUAGGAGCAGCAGGAUAGUGUCCACGCUGUCAGAAUAAUUCACCGAUCUGGAUCUCCAAGACAAGCUCAGCUAUUGGCUUCCUGCCAUUUCCCAUCCCGUCCAGUAGAACCUGUGAGCGUGUUGUUGUGUGUAAAUGUGUCAGCGCUGAAGGAAUGAGAUUAGCACAAGGUUAAUGUGGGCGGAGUCAGGUGGAGCGAGCAGAACCCCCAACGGAGCGAUGAGGUCCGAUUGAACCAACACCGUGACAUUUGUGCAUGUACGGACUCAGCGAUGAUACAUAACAUUACACGUCUCAGAACUUUAAAGACCUGAUUUAAUUAAGGUGUUAUUAGAUAAUUAGACCAUGUUGAUUAAUGCUCUAUUAAUUCUUCUCAGAUUGAAUUUAACCCUCGAUGACUACAGUGGACAUUAAUUAGUCGUCCAAGCUCUGGAGGCUUCACAGCUCAUUCUUAUUGUGGUUCUUAUUGGUUAUUAUGGCUGCUGCACUCAUUUAAUGGACACACGGUGGUCGUGUGUGCAGUUGACCGGUGGAACCUUCCGUGUUUGCUGGUGUUUGUGUGUGGGGCCGACCCUGGGAGAGGCAGCUGGGGCAGCGGGAGCCUCCGCUGCAUCUAUCAUCACGCUGACAGGGCUGCCGUCCCCACACACUGUUCAAAGUGAGACCUUCAGUAUGGCUGCUUAGCAAAUAAUUGAUGGGGUGCUUCCUGAUUUUGAGGAGAGGAGCGCUUAGACGGCAGCGCAGCCACAAGCGCGUUUAAUGUGAUGCGUGAAUCACCCUUUCAUCACCCGUGAACACGUCUGCAGCAACAAAGCACAGUUUCCCACUUACAGCUUGUUUUAGGUGAUGAGUCCUGGAUGUUUGGUUCUUCUCUGCCUUCACGGUUUCCUCCAUUCCUCAAGGUUCAUCUUUGGUGUGUCACUGACUGAGUCAGAACUAGCUUAGUCGUUCCUGUUCAAUGUGUCUGACCAACCUAUCAAAAAGCACAUUUAGAGCUGGAUGUGUGCAAAACCUUCAUAAAAUCACUGUGAGAACCACAGACUGAGAAUGUGCCGGACCUGAGGACAUCCUCCAUCACGUUCUCUUCUUCAUGACUAUCAUGGAUUUUCAUUCGUUUAUGAUGAGAGACAUGUCUGGACGUCAACCAUACACGUCCAUAUGCGUUCAGAGACUUUGUAGGCAGAUAAAGAUAUAUAGCUCAUCUAAUGAAUGAAUUUAAAUUCAGUAAGAUGUAAUUCUGCCUGUGACAAAGUGAGAAAAAAGACCAACGCGAACAAUUGUGAAACAUUUGUAAAGAGGAUCCAGACAAAACGAUGGUCAAAGCCAAAGCACAGCCCGUUUUUCCCGUCUCGUUGAGUUUGAGGACUCGAGCUGCUGAGCAGUAAAUUAGUCAUGUUUCCCAGAGCUGUGUUCGCUGGCAAAAGGAAAAAAGUUGCAACAUGCAGAACCAUGAAGUUCUGUGAAGUGCUCUUGGCCAGACAUUUGUACUGACAGAACAUGGUGGACAGUGAAGUGUUGCUGCUGUCGUUCCACUUCCUGUUAUUGUCCAGCAUGUUUGAAUGGCGUCUGAGCCCACUGCACCUUCAGCAGAUGGACGGCAAAUAUGGCCUCUGAUUUAUCUGGCCACUGAUUAACUGUGAGAAAACAACACUCCACCAAAUGUGGAUGUGUAUGUGUGUGGUGGGUGGCGGUGGAGGGGAGGACGCUAAUAUAUUCAUGAAAAUGUAUUCAUAAAAAAUGAUAAUUGUGAUCGAAACCCCUCCGAGGAUGAGUCAAUAAAAAGCAGGCGAAAUUGACAGGCGCCUGUUAUAUGGACAGCACUGGCAAUAACAGAUGGGGGGGCAGAGGGACGGACGGAGCACGGCGCCUGAUCACAGCGAAGUGGGUGAGUGUUAAAAUGUUACGCAACCAGCUUUUAUUUCCUUGCCUGCGCUGCCUCAUCAUGCAUGAUUCUGCUGUGGUGUUACAUCUAUUUUCAGGGCACCACGGUUUAACACUUACCAUUGUUACUGCCACUGAUCCGGUGCUACUGGGUCGUCUGGAGGAAUGGACUUAGUUCAUAGUUCAGAGGCUUCGCUUCUUCCUUUGUUUGUUUGUGCUCGUCAGACUUCAGCUCCCUGCUCGUGCGAGUGUUUAGCGGCGACUUGGACCAGAUUCAGACAUAGAUGAAUGUCAGCCAUUAUCGCGGGCGGCCAUUUGUGCUGGUAUUUGACUCGCUAAUGAUCGUCUUCCAGGCGGGGUUCAUCAGCUUCAGUGCAGACACACACACACAUUCAAACUUGGGGCUAAUUUGUUCCUCUGGCUGAUCAUUUCACCCCAACAGUCACCUCGUCCUCACACACACACACACACACACUUCCUCCUGCUUUGCUUUGUGAAGAACUCAGUCACUAUAUGUGUUUCCUGUCUGUUGUCCAGUGAUUUGGCAACAGGCUCUGCAGCGUCGCUGGCCUGCUCAGACCCCCUGCUGCUGUGGGACAGCCGUAUACGUUGCAGACCCACCUGGACGCUGCACCUGCUUCUGUCAGUGGACAUGGCAGGUGACGGGUGUCCGCUCUGUUUGCAGAAAUCACAACCCACCAGGCUUUGUGAGUUAUCACAAGAGUGAUGCAUCUUCCAAUUGAAGGAACCACAAGAUGUUUAAAGGCUGUAGCAUCAGGGCUUCAAGCUGCGUGGAUCCACUCACCGAAGCAGCACCUGUUCACCGGUCGCUCCCUUCAGUCCUUUCCUCCUUUGGUGCCCAGACCAACACUGAUGCUUUUCUCUCGAGGUUUGAAAGUUUAGACACCAACUUGUUUACAUUUAAUAAACGUGGAGAAGCAAAGUUCA